UGGCAUAGUAGUUAUGUGCUCGGCUGCUAACCGAAAGGUUGGUGGUUUGAACCCACU
rnacentral:tRNA from 1 species